rnacentral:rRNA from 1 species
GACGAACGCUGGCGGCGUGCCUAAUACAUGCAAGUUGAGCGCUGAAGGUUGGUACUUGUACCAACUGGAUGAGCAGCGCACGGGUGAGUAACGCGUGGGGAAUCUGCCUUUGAGCGGGGGACAACAUUUGGAAACGAAUGCUAAUACCGCAUAAAAACUUUAAACACAAGUUUUAAGUUUGAAAGAUGCAAUUGCAUCACUCAAAGAUGAUCCCGCGUUGUAUUAGCUAGUUGGUGAGGUAAAGGCUCACCAAGGCGAUGAUACAUAGCCGACCUGAGAGGGUGAUCGGCCACAUUGGGACUGAGACACGGCCCAAACUCCUACGGGAGGCAGCAGUAGGGAAUCUUCGGCAAGGGACGAAAGUCUGACCGAGCAACGCCGCGUGAGUGAAGAAGGUUGUCGGAUCGUAAAACUCUGUUGGUAGAGAAGAACGUUGGUGAGAGUGGAAAGCUCAUCAAGUGACGGUAACUACCCAGAAAGGGACGGCUAACUACGUG